rnacentral:rRNA from 1 species
UAGCGGCAGGCUUAAUACAUGCAAGUCGAGGGGCAGCACGAAUAGCAAUAUUUGGUGGCGACCGGCGCACGGGUGCGUAACACGUAUACAACCUACCUUAAACAGGGGGAUAGCCUUUCGAAAGAGAGAUUAAUACCCCGUAAUAGAUUGAAUGGCAUCAUUUGAUUUUGAAAGCUCCGGCGGUUUGAGAUGGGUAUGCGUCCUAUUAGCUAGUUGGUGGUGUAAUGGACCACCAAGGCGACGAUAGGUAGGGGAUCUGAGAGGACUAACCCCCACACUGGUACUGAGACACGGACCAGACUCCUACGGGAGGCAGCAGUAAGGAAUAUUGGUCAAUGGAGGCAACUCUGAACCAGCCAUGCCGCGUGCAGGAAGACGGCCCUAUGGGUUGUAAACUGCUUUUGUACCAGAGAAAACCCCGAUACGUGUAUCGGGUUGAUAGUAUGGUAAGAAUAAGCAUCGGCUAACUUCGUGCCAGCAGCCGCGGUAAGACGAAGGAUGCAAGCGUUAUCCGGAUUCAUUGGGUUUAAAGGGUGCGUAGGCGGACUUGUAAGUCAGUGGUGAAAUCUCUCAGCUUAACUGAGAAACUGCCAUUGAUACUGCAGGUCUAGAGUAUAGAUGACGUUGGCGGAAUAUGACAUGUAGUGGUGAAAUACUUAGAUAUGUCAUAGAACACCGAUUGCGAAGGCAGCUAACGAAACUAUAACUGACGCUGAGGCAC